AGGGUAAAAUACUAGCAGGAUAGAGUAUCUUUAGGGAGAUUGGAACUCAAGGAGGAGUAGUGAAAUGCGUUGAUACCUUGGGGAACACCAGUGGCGAAGGCGAAUCUCUGAAAGACAACUGACACUGAGACACGAAAGCUAGGGUAGCGAAGCAGAUUAGAGACGUGCGUAGUCCUAGCCUUAAACGCAUGCUUGCUAGCCGCAUUUCCCCGCCUUUGGCGGGGGGGUGUAGCGAAGGUAACCCGUUAAGCAAGCUACCUGGGGAGUACGACCGCAAGGUUAAAACUCAAAGGAAUUGGCGGGGAGGCACACAACCAGUGGAACAUGUGGUUCAAUUCGAUACGAACCGAAAAACCUCACCAGGGUUUGACAUACUAUCGUUUAUUCUCCUAGAAAUGGGGGGAAAUCCGCAAGGAUGAUAGUACAGGUGCUGCAUGGCUGUCGUCAGCUCGUUCCGUGAGGAGUGCCCUUAAGUGGGACAACGAGCGCAACCCCUAUCUUGUGUUAAAUCUGUCACAAGAUACUGCCCCAGCUUAGCUGGGGAGGAAGGAGGGGCAGACGUCAAGUCAGCAUGGUCCUUAUACCCUGGGCCACACACAUGUUACAAUGGGAUGAGCAACGGGUUUUGCCAAACGGCAACGUUUCAGCAAAUCCCUAAAACCAUCCCUCAGUGGGGAUUGAGGUCUGCAACUCGACCUCAUGAACGCGGAAUUGGUAGUAAUCGCGGAUCAGUCACGCCGCGGUGAAUACGUUCUUGCCUCUUGCACACACCGCCCGUCAAGCCAACAAAGUCGGGGAUAUUUGAAUCCCGCACAUGCGGGAGAAAAUGUCGCCGGCGAUGGGGGUUAAGUCGUAACAAGGUAACC
rnacentral:rRNA from 1 species